CGAAGGUGGCAAGCGUUGUUCGGAUUCACUGGGCGUACAGGGAGCGUAGGCGGUUGGGUAAGCCCUCCGUGAAAUCUCCGGGCCUAACCCGGAAAGUGCAGAGGGGACUGCUCGGCUUGAGGACGGGAGAGGAGCGCGGAAUUCCCGGUGUAGCGGUGAAAUGCGUAGAGAUCGGGAGGAAGGCCGGUGGCGAAGGCGGCGCUCUGGAACGUUUCUGACGCUGAGGCUCGAAAGCGUGGGGAGCAAACAGGAUUAGAUACCCUGGUAGUCCACGCCUUAAACUAUGGAUACUAAGUGUCGGCGGGUUACCGCCGGUGCCGCAGCUAACGCAGUAAGUAUCCCGCCUGGGAAGUACGGCCGCAAGGUUG
rnacentral:rRNA from 1 species